UCCCCCUCACAGCUCCACCCUCACGCCCAGCCGCGAACACCGGGGCGUUUCGGGCCCUGUGUGAUGUCUGCUCUCUUGCCAAAGCCCUUCUGGCUGCAUUCGCACACGCUACAAAGCGCCCUGGUGUGCUCGAGGUGGUGGUUGGGUCUCUACCCUCGGCCACACAGUAUAACAGUCUUUAGAGCCUCCUGCGUGGGGGCUGAAUUUAUGGCCUGGUUUUAGAAAGGACGGGCUAUUAUCAAACCGAUUGUGCAUUUGCAUAUUCAUCAGCCAUAUAGAGGAGCAGAAGCUGAAAAAGGGCCGCGCACGGCUCCCCACCCCCAUUCCUUUUCAUAGCAGUUGCCCAUGGGCUGCCGCCGUCUCCUGCAUUUCUCCGCACCGUGCUCUUCUCCUGCACGUUCCCUCAUGCACGAGCAACUGCAUACGAGAGCACAGAUGAAAUCGUUCCCUCUUCCACUUCUUGCACUGCACGCUCUCUGACCUCUUUGGCCACACGUGCCAUAUGAUGGACCUUUUUUGAUGCGGUGCAGUUAUAAACUAACAUUAGUGGUGCUACCUUUAUACUGACAUAGCAGGAUAGAUGCAACUUUUUGGUUAGAGCCUGUUUUACCACUGGAGGAGGAGGAUGUUUCUGCACUCUGGGGAAAUGUGGAAGCUCAGCAAGGAUAACCCCGUGACUGCAGAUGAAUACCCAUAUUGAUAAAUCUGUAAGGAAGCCCUGGCGCUAACAUUAUUUCAAAAUUUCCUGCCUGAGCAACUGAUAACUGAAGAAAUAUGCUUCAGAUUUGAAAUAUGCUUUGCAGAUUAAGUUCUGCUCUCCCAAAGUUGCAUGAAUGAGCAUCCUUUCUGCUUGCAGAAAUCUUGUCAAGGUGAGUUCUACCACCUGUUUUCUUCUGAACUUUUUGUAGUACUGUAAAGUAUUGGAAGAUUUUCAAGGGAUCCCACUACCUGGCAGGAGAUAAGGAUCUCCAUUGUGUGUAAAAUGGCAAGGAGCAAAGUCCCAAGCGAUGGAUAAUAGUAGGAAAAAUAUCACUCUCUGUGACGGUAAAAGAAAUGAGAAUGGGCUGUGGCUACACUAAUAUUUUUGGGUGCCUCGUUGAGAGGUGACCCUAAAGGAUGCUGGUCUUCUUUCAGGGGGAUUGAAGUUCCCUCCUUGAUGGUGUGGCACGCAUCUCUGCCAUGCUCCCCUUGCUGAGAGUUCUUCAGAGGUUGCUGUGUUUCCCCCAUCACGGUGCUGUGAUGGAUGUGAGGCUGUAAGUAGUGCCAUCGGCCCUUUCAGCUGCUGCCCAGGAUGCUUUAACCUCAGCUUUAUUCAGAAUAAACAUUUCAGUUUCAUAGGAAAUUCUGUUCCCAUUUCCCAUGGGAUUUAAACUUUUUUCAAUCAACUCUGCUACGUAUCAUUUUAGUGUCCUGGGUCACAGAACUGUUAUUCCUGAAUAUCUUGGUGUUGGCCAUACAUUAGCUUGCUGAGAAGCAGCCAUUUAAAUUCUUCCAUUUCUUCCUCUUGACUUUUGCAUCUUUGUGUGGAAUACUUCAUUUAACCACAAAGAGUAAAAUGGGAUGGACUAGUUAUCUUUCUUUUAAAUCCCUUGAUUUUUUAUUCUUAAUUCGUUGGAUAUAUUUUACACUGCUUUGAAGGAAUGGGUACUUCCUUUAGAGAGACUUGACUGCAGUAUUUCAGGUUCUUCUCUAAACAUUAAAAAAAAAAAAGUCCUAUAGAGCAUUUUGCUAUAAGAUAUUUAAAAUCUGAGGAGUAGGAAGGAAUUGAAUUUCCUGAUUUAAAGUGACUCAGCCAGGGCUGCCUCCUUGUUUCGUAAUAGCUUCUCUGCAUCUAGCCCUAACCUUGGCUGGCACUAGGUAGAGCUAUCAAAUUUUUCUCGAUUAACUUGUCAUUCUCACACACAGACAGUUUCUAAGCUUUUCCUCAAGGAUCCUGGAACAACUACCCGGUUAGCAAUCAUUAACUCCAAAACUGCACCCCUCUGUGUCGUUAGGCAUCCAGCACUAUCACUUCAGGAUUCCUUCAUCUCAAAUUGUAGCAAUUAUACACCUGACAGGACCUCGGUAACAAUAAGAUAAUAGUUUGUUGAUAUUGCUUGUUUUGGUGGCAUAUCUAGUCACACACACAACAGCCCAAACCUUCUUCCCGUAACUUCAGUCUAAUACAGAGAGUUGUUUCCUUUCUAUAUGACUCCUAGGUGUUGGUGGUUUUCUGUACUAUGCAAGGUAAUAUGGAAGCAUUUUGUAAAGCCUGGAACUCUUCUUUAUAGGGUUCCUGAAAUGGCGUGCUUCCCCCUGGGGUAGAUUUUGUUCUCAAUGUCAGAAAAUUAUUUCCAUGAAAAAUUAAAAAUAAAGGUGAUACUUGGGAGCUAGGAGUUAUUGAAUAUGUUUAAGUAAUAAUGUGGAAAUUGGUCCUGUCCAGGCAGCCAAAGACCUUGAGCUUUCUUGAUUAGAAUUAACAAGUGCAUACAUGAAAGAAGAAAUUUCUAUUAAUUUCUAUUAAUCGUAGAUAGUGACUUUUUUUAAGACAUACUAGUCUUCUGUUUGUGUGUCGAUGAUUUCCGUGUCAAAGCUGAUUUUAUAUGCUUGCAUCUUUGAACGGAUAUGUUAAAUGCGCGUGAAGGUAUUUCAAGUACUGUGGCCCAAAUGCUUUCAAUUUGGAAGCACAAAUCAAAUAUGUGUAUUUACAUAUGUAGGGAGAUACUGUGGUGCAGAGCUCCCAAAAGCUCAGAAAUUUCAUUGUCAGGUUCACUUUUUGUUUUCUUCCCACCACAAUGAAGUAAGGUUCUCACUGCUGAUGAAUGUGGCAUGGUUUCGUGUCUCUGUCAUUUCUUUCCCGUCUACCACUGGACACUGCUUUGUCCAAAGCAAAGAAUAUCCUGUGAUAUUCCAAACAUGUAAAUGAAGCAUGAGAGGACAGCUAAAAGGAUGUAGAAUUAGUUGUCUGUCUGCACGUUUUCGUCAGGGCUUGUUCUUCAGCUCUGGGGGAAAGUUCAGUGUUGUGAGAAGCUGUUUGGCAGAUCACAUCACAUUGUCCUCUCUCUGGGAGCAGCCCUAGUCCUGCCCAAGGACAGAAGGAGUCCGUGUCCUGCUGGGCUUGGAGUCAGGCUUCCCAUCUUACAAAGCCCUGAGCAGCCCAGGUGACACGGGCCAAUGUGUUGUGGCAACAUCAUAGACCAGUGGUGUCCACUCAUUCUGUCCAUCCUGAACGGUGUGGAUAACAUGGUCUCAUCUAGAAGGAUACAAGGAUGUGUGACAAUUGGAAGGGAUAAAAUCUCAUAUGUUACCAAAACUGUGUAUACAUCACUUCUGUGAUGGAGGUUGUUACAAACUGCUUCCCAUUAUGCCAUGGGAGCAGGGAGAGAAAUCAUCAGGGAACGGCCAAAUGGUGAACUCAGUUUUCUGCUGGACUGUAUGUUCAGCUCAGGAAUCGAACACCAGCCCUCCUUGAUAUAGAAAUUAAUGGAUUCUCUUUGAAAGGAGAUCAGAGAAGAGUGUGUUCUACUAUGUGCUGAAGUGCAGAAAUAUAAAUGUUAGACUAAAUUUCAAAACCUGAGUGUAUGUAACAACAAAGAGGGAAGAGUACGGAAAGCUCAUGUGCAGACGUGGCGUCACACUUUAACUUGGAAAUUGUUCACAAUAACCUGAAUGUUAUUUAAAAUGCUUUCUGUAGGCACUAAUUACUAUUUUAUGGAGAAAUGGUGAAAUAUUUCUGUCCUUGAAAGUUGACAGGAACGUAUUAAACACCUUAAGGUGUUUCAAAUAAUAGUGCUAAGGUACAACCUUCCUGUGCUUCCAUGGGAGGCAAGAAAUGUGUAUCUGGAAAGAGUAGGGAUGAAGCAGGGGCUGUGCCGAGCAUCAGUUCAUGCAUAUCUGUUUCUGCAGCAGUGUCAGACUUAGCAGCUGUUGGGCUGCAAGGCAGAGUAAAACCCAGGCUUCCAGAAUGGCAGAAGUUAGACCUUGAAUUCCUGUAGUUCCUGCACUGGAGGGCAAAACUGAGGCUACAGUAAUUUGUUUCUCAUUUAGUCCUUCGACUUCUAUCUUUAUUCUUGUCACCAGAGAUAGGAUCACUCUGACAGCUGUAAAAUUUAUAAAGGGAGAGUAGGACGUUUCAGACACUUGCCUGCUUUCUGUGUGAUAAAUGAAGAGCCCUGCCCAUGCAGGGAGUGAGCGGCACAACUCAGAGUCUGAACUGCGGCACAGUGUGAGGAAGAGGCCUGACCUUGCACUGCUGGAGACAGGGUCUUGUGUCUGGCAUCAGAGAUGCCUGGUGUUUCUCAUGUUGUUUUUUUAAUCAUUUUUAAUAGGGAAGGUGUGGUCAUGUUAAAGACUCCUGUGCUCUCCUUUUUGACGUUGUGCCUGUAUUUUCCUUCCCACUGUUUUCCUGGACUUUCUCAUCUUUAGGCUGUUAUGGAGAGCAAACAUUUUCAGCUUAUCUUCUCGCUGUGUAGCGUAAUUACUGGCAGACCCAGGCAGCGCUACUGACAAAGAGGAGAUAAUGUCCCUUUGAACGUCCCCAAUUAGGAUAAUUCUGUUUUUUAGAUGUUCAUUCAUUAGCAGAGAAGUAAACAGUGCAGACAGAAGGCUGUGAAGCAGGGUGUUUAUUCAGUUGUUUUCUAGCCUUCUCUCCGGAUUAAUGAAAUGACUCACAGACAGUAAUAGCAUGCUUGGGAAACGAAAAAAACAACAAAACACAACUGAAGGUGGGACAUGUGAGGCCACGUCUUGGUCAGGACACCCACAUCUCACCAUACCUGCGUAUAGGACUUGAUUCUCUUUGUAAAUGACAGAUCCGUUGUAAAGACAGCCAGCACCCCCAGGGCAACAGAAUCAAAUUGGCAUCCAGUAAGCGCAGGUUGGUUCAGGUGUGUGUGAGAGAAAGCAAUUGCUGGUGGGAAUGUAAGACAAAGCAAUUGCUUAUGAGUGACUCUGUGCAAAAUUGCCCAUAAGUGUUUUCCUACCUUCCCUGGCUCUUUGACAAAGAGGGCACAGGGUGCACCUCACUCAGGUGAGUAACACCUGUGACUGCUCAGCCUCUGCGUGCUGCCCAGCGGACUCUGCGCAGUUUCCAAAAUGCCAACAACAGAUGCAUUGCCAGUCCUACGAAAAGGUGAAGGUGGAAUAGUGAGAGGGCUCUGAUUUCAAAGAUGCUCAAGGGUUUGUUGACCUUUUAGAGUCUGGAACAGAAAUACUUGGAAAGGUUACGUGAAUUUUGAGCAGAGAAGGAAACUGAGAACACAACUGGAUAUCAUAGAUGCGCUUUCAAUGCUGGACCAUCAUUCCUCUCCAGCAGAUGAAGCACAGGUACAUUUUUGCUUAACAGCGGGAUUUUUCAGCAAGGCUGAGCAAACUGACAGCAGGGCAAGAGAGGAAUAAUAAUUGUGGAAGUUCUAGUAAGAACUAAUUAUAGCGUACGCCACCAGGCAACUCUGAUGUAGAAAAAAAUAAAGUGAGAAGCACCUCUGUGGUGCUUCCAGAUACAGGGAAUACAGCUCAGCCUUUGUAUUAGAUCCUGAAACAAUGAUUAUUUAGUUGUAUUAUCUAAAGGGAAAUAAUAUGUACAGUGCAGUCUUAAAGAUCUCUUUGAUUAUGGCUGUUUCUCCAUGGGAGUACGUAUCACAGAAAGCCAUCACCCAGCUCCUACUUUCAGCUGUUUAAUUCAUAAGUUCUCCAAAACUUGGUUUAUAGCCAAGAUGCUUUGCUAUGUAUUGUUACUUUAUGUAAUACUGUUCACUGGUGGUUUCUGUGUUAUGUUUCAUUUUGAGAGCCAGUAUUGCUAGGGUGGAGAUUCAAGCCGCACAAGGCCAAAGAAAACAACAACAAAAGGGAUGAAGCUGGAGAAGCAAGGGGAGCUUGUCAAAGCCUGUAGAGAAGAAGUGAGGAUAAUUAAUCAGACAAAUGGAGAUAGAGAGCAGGUGUGCAGAGGGAAUAGCCUGAUGGGAGCAAAAAGCAGUGGAAUGAAAAUGAAUGUCGGAAGAGCCCCUCCUCCUCCUGACCAAGCCGACUGGGAAAUGCUAACUGUAAUGAUGUAAAAAUGAUACAGCUGAAGGAGCUGUAGUAAUAGCAGCCUGAAAUAUUACCCAAGACUACUCAGAGAGUAAGAGCAAGAGGAAACACAAAGGUGUGUGGAUUGGGCCCUCUUGGGACGGUGGGGUACUUACAGUACCGACCCCUGGGGAGCACUGCUAGGUCCAGGCCUCCAACCGCGCUCUGCGCUGCUGAUCGCAACCCUCUGAGCUCGGCCGGUCAGCCAGUUCUCCAUCCACCUCACUGUCCACUCAUCUAUCCCACACUUCGUAAGCUUCGUUACACGGAUGUUGUGAGAGACAGUGUCGUAAGCUUUGCUGAAGUCGAGGUACACAACAUCCAUUGCUCUCUCCCCAUCUACCCAGCUGGUGAUGGCAUCGCAGAAGGCUGCCAGUUUGGUUGAGCAUGAUUUCCUCUUGGUGAAUCCAUGUUGACUACUCCUGGUAACCUUCUUCUCUUCCAUUUGCUUGGAGAUAGCAUCCAAAAUAACAUGGUCCAUCAUUUUAAAUUGACCUCUAUGUGCUGUGGCAUCAGAUAUUCUUCCAUCCAAAGGAUUUAAUCAGUUCCCUGUAAUGUGAAAGUUGAAGAACAUCUUUCUUGUGUUAAAAAUAUUGAGAAUUGAAUCCAUGAGAAUUUACUGCUUGUGAAAGAAACAACUUCUUCCAUUUGCAUCAGCCCUACCUGGGACUGCUCAGCAUCCUUAAAGAACCAUUCUUGAUAUCAGAUGACAGUCUGAACUCCACGCCCAACCUUGACAUCUGCGGUCAAGUCAUCAAUGAGGCAAACCUUUACACUGAGUUUGCAGACCAGUUCCAUUUAAAAGUAAGUGAUAUGAAAAGCCUUUGGAUUUGCACUUUCAUGUUCACUUUAUUAUCUGGUUGUGUCUGUGCUAUCCGGUAUGUUAGUUGGUCUGAUAGUUUCUCAUGCUUUACCCACAAGAGGUGCCCUCUCUCCCUCAGCCUUCUUCCCCAAAAGCUCCCCCUCCCCAACAAAUUAAUAACUAAGUUCAGAACCCACAAAGAUUGUGAAUGCUGAUGCGUCAUUUUUGACUCCUUGGCCCAGCAGAAGUUGUAAAUUUCUUCUUACCGAUCCAGUAGAAUAAUAGUGCAAAUGUUUAAAGCAGUUGUAAAUCAUUAAUUUGACAGGAACCCACAUAACAAUCAAAAUAAGUUCAUGAGAAAAAUGGCUUUCAUACAGAAAUCUGUUGCCUUUUUCUUUCAUACAUGGUGUUUACCCUAAUCCAAGGUGAAUUUCUUUUCAUCCUGUAGAGAUUCAAAAACUGAAUCAUCUUUCAUCUGCUUAGUAAGGAUAAAAAUGUGCCCAGAAUACUCUAGGGCUGCUGUGUUCCACGGGGCCCCUUUGUGCUUUGUAUAAUAUACUCAUAGUUCACCAUGGGGGUUCUUAAGUGGUUUCAUUUAUUUGUGAAGCCACCUUAUUUUUAGAACGAGCUUAUGCUCUGCUGCAGGGUCCGAGGUUUCAUGGCUAUGUAGAUGGAACUGAAAUGCUGCCAUAAAUCUAUCUUAAAAGAAAGAGACUGCAGAAGUAGGACAAGGUAGAAUCUUCAGAUGUUAGAAGAAAGAGAAAAAAAAAUGACCAAGAAAGGGGAUUUGAAUUAAUCUGAAACUGGCUGGCUGGCUGUUUGCAAAGGUACCACAGUGACUUUUGUUCAGAACGCCGUGUUUGUUUGUAAUACAUUUCUGUGGUGUGUACCAGAAACAAAAUGAGUCAGAGUUCAGAGGAACAUAGGCUUUGGGAGCACGACAGCAGCACAGGGCUUGUCUGUGGAAAGCUGUGCAGAGCAGCAGCUGGCAGGGAGACCAUGGUAUUGACAUGGCAAACCUAGUUGUCAUCUGUGGCCCUUCAGAGCAGCAGACUCAGUACCAGAGAGUGAGUGUGCAUGUAUGUGUGUGUAUAUAAACAUGUAUACACACACACAGUUUUCCCCAGCUAAUGGUCUAGACCUAUGCUUCUAAGAGGUGGAGGGAGACCAGUAGUGCUGGCACAGCUGUUGGAACGGUGCUGCCAGGCACGCUGUCAGUGCUGGGGACUCACUGUUACUUGCAGGGACAAAGUCCUGUGUUGUAUGUCCGUCACUUGCUUUUCCUUCAUGCAUAAUGCAUUGAUGCUUUCUGGAGUGGAGUUGUAUUCAAGCUCAGAGUUACUUUUUCAUUAUUUUAUUUAGUGUGCUUUUUUUUUUUUUUUCAUUUUGCUCUCAUGUUUCACUUGAUGUGGUGGUAAAAUUACUGAUGAAAAUUGUAUUUUAAAAUGAGUUCUCAUGCCACACUUGGAAAUACCCAAAUCUGCCACGCCUCUGUCAUUGGUUCUGAUGAGAAUGGCUUUUCUUUCCUGGCAUGCAGACAGACAGAGCUCUGUUCUGCAGGCAGCGCUGUGGUGAUCAGCUGUGUGUAAAGUAUCGUAGGACCUCUGAGACAUCAUGUGUGUGGUGCUGGAGACAUUUGUGCUGGACUGAGAAGUGCAAUUUCUGUUGCCAACAGAUGCACAGGCUUGGAUAAUGGCCAGUAUAUCUUUUGGUUGUUUUCCAUAGAAUUUAGGUGAUUUUUUCUGUGAUAUGGGCAGUGCUGUUCCUUUCAAAACCUCUGAGAUUUUUAUCUCCCUCUGAUGUUGUGAGGAAAAAUGUUUGCUGUUUUCCUUUUCACUUGGCCUUAAAUUUGUGUUCCUUAGGAAUUUAGGAGUAUGGAUUUUAGAUUGCGGUGGCCUGAAACUUGUACAUAGGAAGUUCCAUACAAACAUGUGGAAGAACUUCUUUACGGUCAGGGUGACGGAGCACUGGAACAAGGCUGCCCAGAGAGGUGGUGGAGUCUCCUUCUAUGGAGAUGUUCAAGACCUGUGCCACCUAUUGUAGGGAACUGCUUUGGCAGGGGGUUGAACUCGGUGAUCUCUAGAGGUCCCUUCCUGGAAGGAGCUAAAUUAACAGCUCUGUAAGUGGCCCCAUCAAGUGAGCAGUGUGUGUUCAGGAUUAGGCAAAAGAAGGUAGCUGUAGGCACAUAGCUUCAUCUGGAGACCCUGUUACUGAGAAUUCAGUAGGCCUUGUUCUUUUAGCUUAAUUCUCUCUCAAAGUGAAUUAAAUUCUCUUUAAAUAAAUGUGUGUAGGAACAGUUCUGCUUAAAAUUUGCACGAUAUUUUCAUCUGAUUUUGCUAGGUAGACAACCAAUAAUUUUACCCUUAUCUUGAAUAAUUCUAUAUGUGAAUAACACCGUAGGGUGAAAAAAAUAAGAAGACUGGUUUUAUUUGUGGAGGGAAACAUUUUUUUAUGAAAAUAUAGCAUUCCAGCACCUGUCUGUGUUAGCUUUCUAUAUAUUCCCUGCCAACAGGGUUAAAAGCAAAUGAUGAUGGUUCCUUCUCUGCUCUCGUUUCAGUGAUUGUUUAGCACUAGCAAAAAUAAUUGUCUGAAAGAUUCAGCCGGAUACUGGUCUCUUCUUGUUAAUGUGCUCUCCUUGAAAAUAAAUUAGGAUUAGGAAGUUCUGCUUUACCGUGAAUAAUAAAGACCAACAUGUAGCAAAUAGAUUACCUCCAAACCUCUUCUCGUCCUUUCUUUGAAACGCUUCUGGCUGGGAGGAUUUUGCUGUUACAUUUUUCUGAAUCUAUUAUAGUUGGCUUUUCUUUUAUUGCUGCACCAUAGCUCCAAUCAUCAGAAAAUCUUUUCCACCUUAUUCUAAUUAUUCUUCUAAAUUUCUGUUCUCUUGCUCUUUUCCGUCCUCCUUCAGUAUAUCUCAGCCUCAUCUUUAUUAAUAAGUACUUUGUAGCUUCAAAGUAAUUUGAGGAGCAGUAAGUUGUUCACACAGUUUCUAUUAGGCAAGUUGUACACCAACGAGGAAAAUGAAAUUAGAAGAAUUAAGCGAUUUGCCUCGGGGGAGGUUUGGUUUGCGAUCCAGGAUUAAAAACCUAUUUCUAACCUCCCAUUUUGUUGUUCGGAUGGCUUCGGUCUGCCUUCCCUGCCUUCUCAUCUUUGUGUUUCUAACCUGUAUUCCUUUCCCUUUCCUGCCUGCAUAAAUCCCCUCUGCGUUCAUUCAGGCAGCAGCUGUGGCCAGGACUGCUGCGGGGUGGCUCUGCGCACCAAACCCAAGCUUGUCCUAGAGGUGCUGGUUCAGCACAGAAAGGGGAGGCGUUGUGGCAGCGACAACGUUCUGUGAAAACCAUUGGAAAAUAUGCUGUAGCUGGACACAGCCACAGUCCUUUACCAGCUGACGAACCUUUCCAGAAGCUUCGCUUAAUGAGAACAUUACUCUUAGCUGGGGACACUUCUGCAGAUGCAGUCGCGUGGUUAGGAUCAGCUCAGAUUCUGCAGAACUGCCAAUUUUCCUGGCCCCGCUGGGAAGGACUCAGAACCAGGAUCCUAAGGACUCCUGAUUAGCCUGCACUGUCACUUGGAGUUCAGUCAUGCCCCAGCAGCAAACCUCCGCCCCUCGUGCCACUCACUGUGCGCUACGUGGACUCUUUACAAUUGGCUUUUGGACUUUUUUUCUUUUUUUUUUUUUAAACUUCAGCAGGUAACAUUUUUACUUAAAAGUUAAUGAUUCUAUUACCCACUGAAAUCUGCUGGUGAUGCUGGUAUCUGCUCAUCUUUUCUUUCCGUUAAAAAAUUGGGAUUGUGCUUAAGGAGUUCACCUCUACUGUAAUUUCCUCUUGAAACUCAGAGCUUUUUGACUCAUGGCAGAAGUAAGGUUUUAGGGUAUGCAGAAUUCCUUUUUUCUGGUUGGUUUUAUUACAGUUCCACAAAUCUAAAAUAGAGGUCCCUGAUGAAAUGCAGUUUCUCUCAAGUAAUUCCUGGAAAACAGUGUAAGCUAUCUAACAGUUAAGUAGCAUAGAAGGAGAAAAAAUACAAGUAUGGUUAACUUUGUCUGUAUUCCUUCUACACAGAGGCAAACAGAAUUUCAUUUCUGUAGAUGAGAAAGGAGAGAAAAAACUUUUUAAUGCAUCUUAUGGUCCAAAUUCUGUGUUUCAUAAGCCAAGAAAAAACUAUUAAGUGCCUUGUAUUCUGUCUCUCUUACUGUAAGGCUGAAAAUGUGAAGAAUGGUGUGUGAAUGCAGAAUUAACUCAACUAGAACUGAUAGGUCUCCACUCAUAGUCAGCCAAGGGCAGAGGGACGAUUUCAGGAAUGGGUUGCGGCUGGGACAAGAAGUGUGGGGAAUGGAAGGUCCAGGAUCCAUUAACAUGAAGGAGUGACAAUACCACAUCUGGGGCUAUUAACGUGCAGCCUGGUGUAGGGUGUGCUACAAAGAGCUCCUCUCCAGCGUUCGCUGCCUUCAGUCCACUGGGUACGUUUGUUGGCAUCUCUUCUGUUGGUGGAGUAAAAUCAGUAAGGUAUUUCUGCAGGGAUUACGUUGUGACUGCAUUAUGUACUGCACAAAUGCCUGAAGUAUGCCAGUGGGGUUGUGCAAUUACCAAAGCAUAUACAAAUAUUUGUGUAUAUACACACAUAUAUAAUAUUUUACUGAGAAACUAAUUUAUAGUGAGGCAUAAGAGAAGUAGUUCUGUAAGCACUGGUAUUAAUUAAAGUUAUCUUCCUAUGCAUUCAAGUCUUACUUGAGUGACCACAGUAUCUAAUAUGGUGUGUGUCCAAAAUGUACUUUCUUUUUUCCAUGAGGUGUUUAUCUGUUUGUUGGGAGUUUCUCUGCUGUUGAUAAGAAGGCGUGCAUGUCAGUGUUUUCCCCUCAAAGUGUCUUUUGUUGUGAAGUUACAGGAUCUAGAUGAGCCCCCAAAUCAACCAACAGGCUGCAAGCGGAACAAAAGGAAAAGACAUAAAAAUACUGUUUCAAGCAAUGAUGUUUUCAUGGUGCAUUGUUCUGAUGGGAAAAUAGAUCAAAACCACCUAUUGAUUAUGCUUCCAUAAUCUAUUAUUUGAGUGGAAUUUAGGUGGGUUUUUUUCUGUGUGUAUUUGUUUCUCUGUUUCAAUAAAAACAGAGAAAGGCAAUUUUAUGUGCUUAGUGCUUAGGAAUCUCUGAACUUAGGAAAAUAAACAAUGCCUAGUAGGAAAUUACAUUUGUUUUCUUCCCAAAACCUCUCUUUGAAAUGAUGUUUUUCAAGCUCAAAAGCGUAGUGUUAUCUUUGUAAUGACAUUGGUAAUCAACUGCCUUCUUUAUCUUCCCUGGAGAUUGUUUUAUCAGCUGAAUGCUUGUGAGUCCACAACACCAGAGAAGUUCCUAAGCUACCGAGACCAGGUGGCUCUGGGUUUUUGUUUUUAGCGUAGCCUGCUGAGGGCUGUGCAGCAAAAUGGUUUGUUUACUCUCUGCAGCUUCUCUGAGACCAGACUUCUACGACAGCUAGAGCUUAACAAGGGUAAUUUCCUUUCGUAAAUGUAUUUCAGAAGAUGUACGUCAUUUAUUUUUCUUCCAAUUACCGUGAAAAGUCAACAUUAAAUCAAACUGUUGGGGACAUGUGACCUUGUUAGUCCCUUGAUACUGAAACACAGCAGGAUCACUUGAUAUGCAGGAAAGUACAAGUGGCAUAUAACUUACCUUUUACACCCUAUUGCAAGAUGUAUUAAUGAGACGACAGAUCACAUUUUAUAUAGCCCUUAUCUGAAGAACUCCAGAGGGUUUGCCAAAUGAAAUAUUAAUUCCUGGUUCAAAUGCAAAUGCCUGUAAGGUGAACUGAUGUUUAUCAGCUCGGUGUCUUAUAUUAGAAGGAUACCAGUACUGUGUCUGAAUAAAACUGCAAGUGGAUUUAUUGAGGUCAGCUGUAACCUCGCUAACCAUUGUUUAAGGUAGAAACAAAAUGCCAGAGAAUUUUCACUUGACUUACCAGCUAACUAGUAUCAAAUACAUGAUAAAACUGUAAGAUUCUGAGUAGUCCAUUUUAAAAAAUAUUUCACUUCUGAGAAACCUCUCAAAUCUGUUUUAAAAGCUGCAGGCUCGGUUUCCAAAGGCAUUUGAGAGCCUUCUAAAAAUCUCAGUGUAUGAUUAAAAUUCCAGCCACGUGUCAUCAGAUUUGAAGUAGCACAUUGUCUCCUGCCUGAUAACAUGCACUGAUACCAUGCUAGCCCUGAGGAAAUCCUCUCCCUGGUGAAUCUGGAAGGAAGUAGGGAAGAGGGACCUCCUGGGUCAGAGUCCAUGCCACUUCCAUCGGAAGCAAUCACAUCAAUAUAAACCCCUUUAGCAAAUGGAUUAGGCUCAGUUUCAGAAAUGUAAGUUGCUCCUGACACUCUUUAUGGAUUACCGUGGCAGAAUUUUAUUCCAGCUUUCAUUUUACUGUAACCACUUUUUGUCCACUGGUUCUUGAUGGCCUGGAUCAUUAUUUUCUCCUUUCCCUCUCACUUGUCUGAGCAUUUGAUCUCCUAAAGUGCUUAAAAUAAUCAUUCUUCCCUUAAUUUAUGUUUAGGCAAGCUAAACAAGCCAACCUUUGUAUUCUCCUUGUAAAAUACAGGAUUUCUGCUCCUAAUAUUUUUAUAGUAGUCCCUCAAACCAGUACUAGUGCAGGAAAUUAUUAGUCACAGAAACACACGGCCCGGGUUCUGAAGGAGGUAACGUACCCAGCGGUACCAGUACCUCUACCUCCUUCUGACCUUCCUCUGUGAGCCCUACAUCACACUGCUGUCUUUGUGGCCAUGUAUCACAGGUAUCUUGGGAUCAGCUUCAGAGCUAGACGUAAAGAGAACUGUGCUUUUUACCUCUGUCACCUGCCAUUAGCUAAGCCUAAUAUUUAUGGUCAUUUUAAAAUUAUUACUAGUAGCUGAGUGUUAUUAUUACACAUUCUCCCGUUUUGGUUAUUCACUUAAACAAAAUCAUCCAGGAGUAAAACUCCUAUGUAAAAUCAUUGCAUGUGCUGAGUGUGCCUUAUAUCAUCAGAAACUCCCACGAGUGCUCUCCUAUUUUGGUACCAGCAUUAUUAAUUAAAAUACUAAAUAAGAAUGCUCCCAAAUGCAAAGCUGAGGAACAGCAGUAGUGAUCAUCUUCAUGCACAGCAUUUUCCCAUUCACUACUGCCUGCUGUCACAUUCUUAGAUGCAUUUUAAACCAGCACAGGGUUCUUACACUGAGCUCUCUUCCAUUUUCAUCAUUGUUUCUCAAUGUCAUCUAAACGUGACUUGUUUCAAUGUAUGUGAACAUGUAAAAUGACUUUUAUAAAGAUGUAGAUUGUUGUACUAUUCCUCUUGUACAACUUCUUUCUUUGUAUGUAAAAUAAAUUUUAAACAAGCAGCAAAGCCAAUCACCUUAGAGAUUUCUUUUUUGUAGUUAUCUACCAAGGCUCAUCAUAAAAUCCAGCAAACAUGAUGUUUUCAGUUCUUCUAAUAGAUUUUGUUGAAAACAGAAUAAGAAAUCGAAUUACUCAAAGAUGAAAAUGAGAUAACUAAAGUGAUUGAACUAAGACUGAAUGAAAUAAUUUGGAUGAGCGUAUCUGCAAAUCAAUACACUGGUAAUGAAGGCAAAAUGUGUAGCAGACAUUAGAGUUUUCUAGUCUUAUUUAAUAAGUCUCACACUAUCUAAUGUGGAGAGAACAGGAGGGGCCAGAUUCUUUCCAGCCAGGUGCUCCAUCCACUGGAGGCCAACGCAGUCUAAUGACUUAGCUAUAGACAAAUACAAGGUACGAGUCCCCCAGCUUAUGUAUUUGUUCUGGUAUUAAUCCUUCUCUAAAGGAAGGUGCUAACCCUGAUCAUUAAGAGCUGGCUUCAAUUGCAUUACUGCAAACUGUUGUGGUUUUGUUGUUGGGUUUUUUUUU